AAUUGUAAGACACUUUUUUCCUUUGGUUCUCAGCCGGAUAAACGCACAAAUAACACGUCGUGCGAGCUGGAUCGAAACCCUGACUGUAGGUACUGCAUCGCUAUUAAAGCUAAGAGAGCGGGCGGCGGAGAGACACCAUGGAGUCCUUACGAGUGUUUUGGGAAAGAUAUCGACGCGUUGGUGUACAUGGCCUUCAUCAUCCCAUUGGGGGUCACUGCCCUGGCGGUCUUGACGUUUAUCUGCUGCCGGAAGAAUAUAAAAAAGAUCUGCCCUAAAAUCAUAAAACCUGCAGAUUACAUCAGCGACAUCAUCAACAACAACAAUAAGGGCACGGUUUGGAACUUUCCUAUCCCAGUAGAGGAAGAACACACCUGUGAAAUCACUGUGAUGGAUCCGCAAGUCUACACACCAGAUUGCUGACACGUCUCUGAUGCUAACUCGCACUUUGAGUGAAAAAAAAAACAAAAACACGUUGGCAGCUGCGUUCGCACAAACCGUGCACACACUGAUGCAGCUGAGAUGCCGACUUCACACGGCUUAGCAGCUGUUAUUUACCGUAGAUUGAGUAGGUUCCACUGAAUGACAAUUCCUCACCAGGACGAGCCAGCGCAUUACCUUGAAUUCAUAUUCACACCAGCAUUUCUAAAACAAUUCGCGUUGCAUCAAGCCAAACAAUUACAUCCAAGAUCACAUUUUAUUUGCACUAAAUGAGCUCAGCAUUAUACAUUUUUGCACCAACAACUACUUCUGUGAGCCCUUUUCGGACAGCAGAGCCUGAGUGGAUAGGACAAACUUAGGCUGAGCAGUAAUCAUCAGGUAUCCCUGGAGUCGUUAAAGCAAUAUGGUUGCAUUUUUUUAAAGCAUUAACCAGGCGUUAAAUGCUGAACAUUGGCUGGUCCGAGGUUGAGGGAAUGUUUUUUACUGUUUAUAUGACUGUUAAUUAUCAUAAUCUAGGCACUUUUAUCCUUGUGUUGUUCAGGUUUGUCACCUGUAGUCCCAAUGAUGCCAAUGCAAAAAAAAAAAAAAAGAAUAUGUGUUUUUAGAAAUGUAUAGGUUUAUUUUUGAUUCAAGCAUUAGUUUGCUUUUUGAUAUCUUCCCCAGAACAGCGGACCAAUCUUCUAAGUUUACCCUGAAACACUUGCUUUUUUCUUUUCUUUUUUUUCUUUUCUGUGAACAUUAUCCCUGUUGGUGCUUCCAUACUGUUAAAGCUAUUGUACGUCUUAUUGCCAGACAUUACGUGUCGCUCAUUUCAACGACAGACUCCUAUUGAGUCUAAAAAUGGGUGACUCGGAGAGGACUGAAGGCCAGUAUGAACCUACUGACCCUGUGAACAAUUCCCCAACGAGCUGUUGGACAACAUUGCCCAUUGUUGGACGAUGGAUUAAUUGCACUUUGGCAUGACAAACUGGGCUACCCUAAAGAAUCACACUGAUUCAGGUAGACUGCAGCGGAUGCAUAUUUUAAUGACUGAUCAUUUAGCUUUGACUAACCUUCUAUUUUUUCAGUAGGACUUUAGAAAGAUUGUGCACUUCAUGUGUUUUCAGAUUGAGAUAAAGCUUGUUGGUCUUUUGUCUGUGAGCAUAAGAGAAGCAUUAAAAAAAAAAAAAGCUUUUAACCACCUUGAUAAGCUGCUUAAGGCCCCAAAUGCCCGGAUUGUUGACCAGAGGUUUGGUCUGGUUUCCAAUCACUGUUUACCUGCUAGACCACCAAAAACUAACUACCAAGCUAACAAGGAUGCUAAACUUCGGAGAUCAUUAAUGUCACAAUUAGGACUUUUUGGAAUAUUUUGAUUUAUGUAGUUCAUUGUCUGCAGGAACAGAAAAUAGCUCAAGGCCUAAAAGAGACAUCCGCCAGCAAAAUACAGCUAAACCAGUUGUUUUUCAACUCAAGGGCAGCAAAUUUAUCACAAAACUGGGCUGGAACACCCUUAAUUCAUCGCUUUUUAUUGUGCAAACUCAAGGUCGAAGCUCAAACCUGCACUUAUGGUUCAAAUAAAUUCUCCAAUGAUUUUCUUUAUUUCUGCUUCCAGAACAGCCCUGAGAAGUUUGAAGAGCUAAAAAAAAAAAAAAUCACCUGAAGGUUGUGACAUUUGCUCUCUUUAAUAGUGCACAAGAAGACAGCUCCAAUGAAUGUACGGUGUUUGAAGACACCCUGGUAACUGAAGAUCUUAAAGUUGUUUUGUAUGGAAGGUAGACUGAAGCCUCUUCAACAGACAAAGCGCCUGUUGAAGGGCGUAAGAAUAAAACACUGGCGCGUGAAAUAGUUCCUAGUUUGAAUGUUUGGAUGACAUGCUGGUUAUAACGCUUCUUAUAAAUUGUUUAUUAUUCACUUUAUGCAGUUUUUUUUACCCUAUGUACAUUUGCAGAUGUUCAGAAAGACAGGGGCCAAAAAGUGAUCGCUAAACUAUGGGAUGAGGUGCAGGAACAUGACACACAAAAUGCUUUUGUUUGAACCUUGGAGAGAGUUCACCUCCUCAGAAAAAACAUCUAUAUGUACCUUUGCACAAAGACAGGAAACAUGGAAACGGAAGAAGAAGUCUGUAUUUGUCACCGCUACAUUGCAGCAGAAUAGAAUUUUCUUUGCAUAACUCAAGCUUUUUGGAGAAGUGUGAUCAGAGCAGAUUUGCUCUUGGGCCUAAACAACGGCUUGUGUCCAGGGCCACAACCGCUGAUUCACCGCUUCUGUGCAAAGGUAGAAAUGUCUUCCUGAUGUCUCACUUGCUAAAUCUAUUCACAAACUCCUCUCUUACUGUUUUCUUGUCUCAUCAUGUUCCCUCACUAGUAAAUAAACAGGUUUUUUCUAGUUUUGUAAAUAUAGUACCAGUAGAAAUGAUUACCUCACUAUAUUCUGCAUUAAAGAUUUGCUUUGAAUUUA